CAGAGAUCAUGCCCUUCGGGGUAGACCUCCCACCCUGUGUUAUUUACUCUUGUUGCUUUGGCAGGCCGCCUUCGGGCUCCCGGCUUCGGCUGGGGCGCGCCUGCCAGAGGACCCCAUAUUCUAUGUAUAUCUGUCGUCUGAGUACUAUAUAAUAAGUUA
rnacentral:misc_RNA from 1 species